rnacentral:rRNA from 1 species
UCUGACGACCAUAGCAAGUUGGCCCCACUCCUUCCCAUCUCGAACAGGACAGUGAAACGACUUCGCGCCAAUGAUAGUGUGCAUACGCAUGUGAAAGUAGGUCAUCGUCAGAC